GGUCCUGCCUCACUUGCACCAAAUCUUUCACCUGUAGUUUCUCCAUCUGCUAGUCCUGAAGCUUCUGUUGUUCCUGAGCCAACUCCGUCCACUCUUCCACCAGAAUCCAGCACAACACCAAUCCUGACUCCACCAUCACCAACAGUGGAUACUGGAGCCGCAACAUCGACUACCGGACGUCGCCCAGUUCUAACUUCUCCA
rnacentral:misc_RNA from 1 species